UAAUACGGAGGGUGCAAGCGUUAAUCGGAAUUACUGGGCGUAAAGCGCACGCAGGCGGUUUGUUAAGUCAGAUGUGAAAUCCCCGGGCUCAACCUGGGAACUGCAUUUGAAACUGGCAAGCUAGAGUCUCGUAGAGGGGGGUAGAAUUCCAGGUGUAGCGGUGAAAUGCGUAGAGAUCUGGAGGAAUACCGGUGGCGAAGGCGGCCCCCUGGACGAAGACUGACGCUCAGGUGCGAAAGCGUGGGGAGCAAACAGGAUUAGAUACCCUGGUAGUCCACGCUGUAAACGAUGUCGAUUUGGAGGUUGUGCCCUUGAGGCGUGGCUUCCGGAGCUAACGCGUGAAACACUCCGCCUGGGGAGUACGGUCGCAAGACCG
rnacentral:rRNA from 1 species